GCCCGCGCCUCUCCCUCCACACUUCGCCGCAAGCAGAGGGAGCCGGCUCCGGCCUCAGCUGGCCCAGAGAGGGGCUCCCUCAGUGCAGUGGCGAGCUGAAGGGCUCCUCAAGGGCGGCUGGAGUGGACGCUGAGGCCGAGGAGACGCCAAGAGCAAACGAGGGCUGCUAGUACAUUGUCACCUCUCACUGGUAACUACAGUUGCUGUCAGUUUAACUGAAAGACAGGACAGAUUCUUAUGACCUGAAACAGCACCUCAACUCUUACCUUGGAUAUUUCUACAUGAAGAAUCUGCUCUGAAACUAUAGCAAACAAUCACAGAGUGUUUGAGUGUGAGUCCAGACUGGUUCGGGAAGACCAAGAAGCAAUGAUGAUGUCUGUUUUUGUCAAAUGUCUGAAAACUAUUUUUAUUUUUCUAAAACUUUGUUCAGAAGUCUCAAUAUUGUAGUGUAUAGAGAUGUACACUAAUUUAGUGAUAUGAAGAUGAAGGGCUUUAAGCCUGUGUUCCUUGCAGGCAUCUCAGUACCUAGGAACUCCAAAGAACAAACUGUUGCUCGUGCAAAAUUAAAUUUCAUAAAACAGCAAA
rnacentral:lncRNA from 1 species